rnacentral:rRNA from 1 species
AACGAACGCUGGCGGCGCGCCUAAUACAUGCAAGUCGAGCGAGAAGACGUAGCAAUACGUUUGUAAAGCGGCGAACGGGUGAGGAAUACAUGGGUAACCUACCCUCGAGUGGGGAAUAACUAGCCGAAAGGUUAGCUAAUACCGCGUACGCUCCUUGGACUUCGGUUCAGGGAGGAAAGCGAUACCGUGGGUAUCGCGCUCUUGGAUGGGCUCAUGUCCUAUCAGCUUGUUGGUGGGGUGANGGCCUACCAAGGCGACGACGGGUAGCCGGCCUGAGAGGGCGACCGGCCACACUGGGACUGAGACACGGCCCAGACUCCUACGGGAGGCAGCAGUGGGGAAUCUUGCGCAAUGGGCGAAAGCCUGACGCAGCGACGCCGCGUGAGGGAUGACGGCCU